rnacentral:rRNA from 1 species
CUCCCGCACAGGUGCUGCAUGGCUGUCGUCAGCUCGUGUCGUGAGAUGUUGGGUUAAGUCCCGCAACGAGCGCAACCCUUUUCUUCAGUUGCCAUCAUUAAGUUGGGAACUCUGGAGAUACUGCCGGUGAUAAACCGGAGGAAGGUGGGGAUGACGUCAAGUCCUCAUGGCCCUUAUGGGCUGGGCUACACACGUGCUACAAUGGCGGUGACAAUGGGAUGCGAAGGGGCGACCUGGAGCCAAUCCCAAAAAACCGUCUCAGUUCGGAUCGUACUCUGCAACUCGAGUGCGUGAAGGUGGAAUCGCUAGUAAUCGUGGAUCAGCAUGCCACGGUGAAUACGUUCCCGGGCCUUGUACACACCGCCCGUCACACCAUGGGAGUUGGCUUUACCCGAAG